GUAAUUAAUUACUUGGCUUUCUAUUUUAAUUAUUUUUGUGUUUGUGAAAAAUUAUAAUGAACUAAGUACAGUAUUUGAUGCUGUAUCGGCUGCAUAAUCCAUGGUUGGCGGUUGUUUAUCUUUAUCACUAUCACGGGGAAUGAAUGAAUCUGUGAUGGGUUACAACUGGAAAUUUGUUGGAACAAUCCAUAAAGCCAAAAGAUGUGGACCCUCUUGUUAUAUGCAUAUCCUGACAUGAUAUAAAUAAAUAAAUAUUAGCUGCCAUGUAUAUAUGCUUAUAAGAUGAUUCAACAGUUUGCAUUCUUUAUUAAUUUUGGGUUUUGUGAACCCGUUGAGGAGUGAAACUUGUCCUUGUUGUUGUCCAUGGGGUUGGAUGGUUGGCCAGAUUUUAGAUAGAUAAUGCGACACCGCAUAUCAGAAAUCAAAUAAUUCAUCCCCACACCACACAUUCGAAAUAUCAAUUGAAAGCCUAAAGUCUUUUUGUAGAUUUAGAAAUGGAACACGCAAUGCAGAAGUAACACCCAUAGCAACUACAGGGCCCAAAACCCAUAGCUAGUCUAUGACAACUUCGUCUUCCACUAUGCUAUGUCCCACCUAAAAGAAGCAAAUACUCUCUUUCUCUGUGUGCGUCUAACCUAAAGGCAAAUAAUGUGUUUGCAUGUGUUCCCAUCACAGGAACUGGCUCAGUUUUGGUUAUGGUUAUAUGUUAUGUAAACUGUAGCUUCAUAUCUUGGAAAACAGUAGCUCUUUCUUCUGCUGCUUUACAAUAAACGUCCCCUCUUUUUCUUUUGAACAAUUUUUUGCAACAGAAGCAAGAGCAUGUCGUCUUUUAUUUGUAUAUUACCAUGGCUCUCUUUUUCUUUUUUAACUUCUCCUUCUCUAACAGGACAGGCUUCAAUGGUUUACAACUCCUAAUGAUUAGGACAUCGCAUUAUAUAGAACAUGCAUAUGUAUGUCACCGGGGAGUGAGAAAAGGAAAGUAUUUAUUAAACUAAAGUUCCUGCAUUAGGGGAUACGCCAAACAGAAAGCUAUAAAAAUAAAUUUCCUGCAUUGCAUAUACAUGUAUAUUUCUUUAAUCAAACAACCCCAAACAAGAAAGAUAAGACAAUGAUAUAUAUUUAUAUAUAAAUAAGCCACUUGUGGAGCUGUUCAUCUUUCCAAAAGCCCAUUCCAGACUUGGAAAUGGAACAUGCAGAAGAUCCAUGCAUCACUAAUUCAUCCAACAAAGAAAAACAAGAGACAAGUUGAGAAACUGUUAUAUAGAUAUUAUAACUUCCCAAUCACAGUUUCAACAUCUUAAUACUUAUAAAAAGCAAACUAUUCCCUGUGGUUCUGCAGUUGUACGCAGUAUGCUACUACUGCAGAAUAAAUUUCUGCCUUUUUUUGACUUUUGUCUGUAUCGCUACGCUUCUGCUGGAAAACCAUAUCCUUACUCAUUCAUUGUAAACAGUAGACAGUGUUUCCUAAUUGAAGGAAUGACCAUGCAUGCCAUUGCCAAGGGAACUAUCUGUUUUCUACCAUCAUUAAUUGCUUGUUCUGUGUGGUAUAUAAAUUCAUUUCAGAUAACUUGGGCAGUGCAGUGCUGCCAAGCCUUUUUCCUGUUGGUCCAAAACAUUGAAAUUUCUCUUCACUUAAUAAUCAAAGUCUAAAGGCAAAAAAGAAAUCAAAUAAGGAGGCAAUCGUCUUUUUCUGCCCUAUUUAAAGUGUUAUUAAACACCCGCCCACUAUUUUUUCUUGUUUAAAACGUUGCAACGGAAGGAAGCGCAUUAAUUCAACACUCAUGUGUGUUAUCAUACAAUUUAGGGCUUCUUUUAUUUUAACAGGUCCAACCCCCUCAUGAAUAUUGAAUAUUGAAUAUGAAUAGGACAUGGACAGAUGCAAAUUCUUUUAAGGGACAUGUGGGAGUGAGAAAGGGGAAGCACUCUUUCUUCCUAAAUUAUUACUACGACAAUGCUAUUCAAUUUCCUGCAGAAUAUUCAAUCCGAAAACACAUAUAAAACCCCCAAACAAAAAGCAAACCAAUGAUUCAACAUAUACACAGGACACAUGAAAAUAGGUAGGUUACUGUGCAGCUGCUCAUCAUUCUUAAAAUCUAAAUUUGACCCUUUUCUAACAGUACUGGCUUUGACUUGGUCAAACACAAUGACCUUUUAUUUUAUUUUUUUCUUUUAUGCUUUUGUAGUGGUAGGCUAGCAAUAUGCCUGAGGACAGCAUGAAGCUUUCUUUUUUUUUUUUUUUUUUCUUUAGAAAAAGAAAAAGAAAAAAGAAAAAUAAAAAUUCUUCUUUUGAUGAAGAUGGUUAAUUGAAGGAAAGCCCAGUUGUUGUCAGUGUAUGAAGGAGAGAUUCUGUAAUCCAUCAAUACUGUCAAUAGUAUGCUUUACUGCAUUGCAUCUGUCCUUUUCCAACUUGUGGGAAUUUGUUCUUUGACAUUUUUGAGUGUGAAUCACCUCAUUUCUUCCAUUAUUACUUAAUAAAUUUAAUUAACUAUUUUAUCACACCCACCAAACAAAAUUACAAACUUAGAAUAAUUAGCAUUUAGUCAUUGAGCAUUGCAUGUGUGCGGUGUAGUUGAACAAGGCACAGUACACUAGUACUGGAUGUGCAAUAGGAUUAUAUAUUCCUGGAAAAGAAGAGCUGAACCAACCACAUCAUCUAAAUUUGUCUUGAGCCUAAAAAAUAUAUCAAACACCCCUGAUAAUUAUGUCAAGUCCAAUCAAACAUCUAAUUUUUGAUUUAGUGUUCGUAACUAAUUUAUCUAAACCUUGCUAUUGUGAUAUUACAGGAUGGAUUUGAUUUAUGUGCUGUGAUGUAUAUAACUAAAAGCCAAAGAUUUUGGACCACAGCUUUUUAGAUAAAAAAAAUGAAGAAGAAAAGAAAUCCUAAAAUCAGGCAGAUUUCUGCAAAUCCUGUUAGCUACUGAUAUGUCCAGACCAAACCUAUAUAUAAUUAUACAGUCGGCCACUUGCUAUAUUUCUGUUAUUUUCAAACAUUCAUGUAUAUAUUAAAUUUAGAAAGAUUACAGUGAGCUUCUAAUGCUUUCUGGAAGACCAGGCAGAAGAAAAAGCCUUUUUGAAUGCUCAAAUGGGAUUCCAAAGUAUUAUGUUUUUGGCGGCAACCAGCUUUUUUGGAAGCUUAGCUAAAAGCCCCAUUUGGCCGAAGGCUCCAAGCAAUCAUACAUAUCCAUUUCCUUUCACUUUCAGUAACUUCAAAUUCAAAUCCAACGGUUCUUCUCUUACUUUUCGUUUCUUUUCUUUCUUUUUCCUCUCGUUAUCUUUUUAUUUUUGUUAAAUCUCUUAUUCCCUACAGCACAGUACAUUAUUGAAUCAUCAAAAUUCUCAAGGGAUGCAUGGAAUGGAGUGUGCAGAAGUGAAAAAUGUACCCUCAUCAUUCCUUCCCGGGCUCUGGACUUAAAUUCUCUCUAGCUUCGUUAAAAAAGAAUAAAAGCAAACACACCUAGAAUCUUGAUUUGAAUAUCAUAAAAACCACCCUAUGUUGUCAGUGUGAAGAAAAACAAACUCACUCAAAAUUGUCUCUUUCACUAUUUAAGAAUCAAACAUGACUGACUUAAUCAACAAUAUCAAAUAUGAUCCGAAAUCAGCCUCAUUAUAAAAAUUAUAAUAUAAUGUGGGUAAUUAAUAGAAGAAUGUGGAGGGACCAAUACAAAACAAAUUUAAUCACGAGGGUGAGGGUGAGGGUGAGGGUGAGGGUGUGAAGAUGGUCCCCAUACAUAAGACCAUAAGUCUGAAAAGGCCCCAUCUUUGUUUCUGGGUUUUGUCACUGCCAUGGUCCACCACCACCCAUUUCAAAAAUUCUAUUUUAUUUUUAAAUACAAGUUAUUAUUAUGUUAGUUAGUUGUAAAAUUCCUUCUAACAGUUGCUGCUCAGUUCUUUUUAUUCUAGUUUUUGUGGCAGUGAAAUCAACUUACUUUACUAAUUCGAAAUCUUAAGUUUUUUUAAAGAAUCAAGAAUUGGAAGUGAGAAUGAUCACGAGUUGAUGUUCUACGUUCUAAUAGUUCUCAUUAUCAAAAUAAAUUACUAAAAUAAAAAGAAAGCACAGAAUAUGUUGUCAGUGCAUCACAGUGACAGUGGAAAAACUGAAUCUUUUUUUUAAAGAAUUAUUCUUGAUGUUCAAAAAUAUGAGAAUGGUAAAGAAAAAGGAAAAGGAAAAGGCAAUUUUAAAAUUAAAAAUAAAAGAAAUAAAGUAGUAAAAAACCAAAGAAGAGAAAGAAAAAAAAAAGGUAGCUUGGGGAGUGGAGUCAUUAUUAUAAUGAUAAAGGAGUGCAGUCAGUCACUGGUCACAAAUAUAAAUGUUAAAAAAAAAAAAAAGAGAGAAAAGAAAAGUGAUAGUUUGUGGGUGAAACUUUGAAAGAGAUGAUACUACCAACAACCAGUGUAUAAAUGUGAGAAAGAAAGAAGAAGAAGAAUAAGAAAAAGUGAGAAGUGAAGGGGCAGGCAGCUGCUGAACAAUUUGCAGAGACUUGUCUGCACUUUUAAUUUCAGCUUCUUGGCAUAUAUAUAUGUGUUUAUAUGCCAGCCCAGCUAAGGCCCGCCCCGCCCCGCUCCCUAAUUCCUAAUUCCUAAUUACUAAUACUAUUAUAUCAACUUCAUACCUGAGAAAUUGAUAAAAUGGGGAUGGGAGGAGCGUCCUCAAAGCUCAGAAAGGCCGCCAGGAAGAUGGUGGUGGCUGCUUGCGCCUCCUUUUCUUCUUCUUCUUCUUCUAGAAAGCCUGCUCUUUCCUUUGACAACUCCUCCUCCUCAUCCUUCAAUGUAAGUCUCUUUCUUUCUUAUUUAUCACUCUCUGCAUCAACAUUCAAACCUUUUCUUGUUUUCUUCAAAGAAAUAGAAAAAAAGGAAAGAAAGAAAGCAUGUGUCUUUCUCAUUUACAGUUCUAAUUUCUUUCAGGAUAUUCUUUCUUAAUCAAUCCAUCCAUCCAUCAUUCUCAUUCUCAAAAUUCACAAGUUAAUUUCUGAGGACACAUCCUAGAUUCUGUAAACAGUAAAAAUUUCUAACAUCUGUGUGUUUAUUACUAAUGAUUAUAAACAGGGGUCGGACUCUAUUGCAAUGUCUCCCACAAAGCUAAAGGAAGCUGAAUCCCUCACCAAUGACACGUACAAUAACGUGGCUUCUAAGGUAGGCUGGCUACCCUUGUUUGCUUUUCCAACUCCUCCAUUGGAAUCAUUCAUUGCAUUUGCUUCUGGAAUCCAAUGUUCACGUUCUUCUCAACUUUGACCAUCUACCCUUUUUUUUUUGUCCCUUUUCAUUAUUGCAUAUUCUAUUCUAUAUUUUGUAUAUGUAUGUAUUUGCUCAUUUGCAAUACCACUUCAAGGAAAGGAUUUUCUUUUUUUUUUUUUUCUUUUUUUUUUUUUAAAUUUUUUUUAAUAGGAGGGAGGUGUAAAUUUUGCUCUACCCAUCUCUAAACAUGUGAUACCGCAUUCCAAAUUCCCAUUAUUACACAUAUCCCACUGCUUAAGGUCCCCAUCUACCCACCCACCAGCAGGUGUUUCAGAUCACAUGAUUUCUUGUCACUGUUUUCCUACCACAAAUUAUUGUGUCCAUAUUCAACUGCUUCUGCCACUCUUUUAGUUUAGCUUUAAGUGAUAUUUCCUAACUUAUUGAUGCCAUCAAAUAGGGUGUCCCUCUUGAGAUUUGCAUUUCAAGAUUUAAAUUUUCUCACCUUGUUUUCAUUUUCAAAUCAACUGCUUUUUCCCAAGGACAAAGCUACAGCUGCCAUCAAGUGACCCUCUUGAUUUUGUGUUUUAGACCUGCUCAUGUAUGGUGCUAAUAAUAAUUACUACAUAUUAUAACCAUACUAACGUACCAUAACAUCCCACCAUAGUUCCCUUGAAAUAAAAUUGCCAUGUAUUACUCUCAUUUUAAUUUUUGUUUUUAAAUAUUUUACCAAGGCAUCUAGAUCUUUCACAAUAUUGGGAGUUUGAUAGGGCAAUCUUUCUUAGCACUCCAUCAACUGCUAUAUAUUGCUUAGAGACUAGCUCUAACUAGAAAUACACUUCCGCAACCUCUCUUGGUAUUUCAUAAUUAACUUUUGCAAAUGAUGUCACAAUCAAAAUCUUGUCAGGCAUGCUAACUGGGAANNNN
rnacentral:lncRNA from 1 species